rnacentral:rRNA from 1 species
AAUACCCUAUUAUUUUAAAAGUAAUUAAAUAAAUCUAAUUAGUAAUAGUUAAGUUCUUGAAAAUUAAAGAAUUUGGCGGUAUUUUAGUCUAUUCAGAGGAAUCUGUCCUAUAAUUGAUAAUCCACGAUUUUUUAUACCUAAUUUAUUAAUUUACAUAUCGCCGUAGUUUGAAUAUUUUUUUAAAAUUAUAAUAUUCAUAAUUUAUUUUGAUAAAAAAAAUCAGGUCAAGGUGUAGUUUAUGACUAGGAAGAGAUGGGUUACAAUAAAAGUAUUUAUUAUGGAUUAAUUAAUUAAAUUUUUUUAUGAAGGUGGAUUUGAAAGUAAUUUUAUUUA